rnacentral:lncRNA from 1 species
AAGCAAUUAAAAUAAGAAUUAUCAAAAAACACAUGCAUGGCUGAAGAAAUUAUUUAACCUUAAAUUUUUUAAAUUUAGGUGUUUUUUUUUUAGUCCAUAAUCUCUAGCAAGAAUACAACACUAUCCCUUACUGAGGUCUGGGUUCUUAAAGGCAAUUAUUAUACUCAAAUGUCUAAACCCUGGUCCUGAGCUUGUACUGUGGUCUUCCAAGGCAGGUACAGAAAACUGAAGAAUCAGGAGACAGCCUCAUGCUGGUGGACACUGGUUACAGGUGACCAAUCAGACUAUAAUCAGGCAGAACAUCAUCUCUAAAAUUGGUAUCAACUGACCUGAAUGAAAAAAGACUCAAUUAUUGUUCCAUGACCCAUAAACAGAAGAUCUUAUAAUUGCAUAUUAAAAAUGUUACACAUUUCAGCCUUCUCAUGCAGACAAAACUGUGCUGAAUGCAUGAUGGUGGUCAAAGAUACCUUAUUAAAACAAAACCAGACUAGUACUGAAGAAAGUAAUAGUUACUUAACAGUGAGUACAGUAAACAUGUGACAUUAAAGUGAAGUGUAGGUUCACUGCCAUGCAGUAACUGUGGAUAUCUGUAUAUCUCUUUCUAUGCUUUUCUAAAGUAACCCUAAGUUCUAUAAAUGAUACAGAUGAAGAAGGAUGUGUAGGAUAUGUCCCACUGAUCUGCUUAAGGUGCCUAAUAUGCAAUGACAUCAAGCAGCACGUGCUACAUAGCAGUAACUCCUGCAGGCAAUCAGGACUGAUCCCACCAUUCAUCCCUCAGCUGCCUCCUGGCUUGUUUUUUAGGUGCCUCAGCCCUGGACCCUGUGUGCCAUUGGAGGGACAUGUGUGACAACAGCCAGCCUUGGUCUCAGGAAGGAACCCAGCAACCUCCCCUUGAAGCAUCCUCAGCAGUCAGCCUCAUAGACAGGUGGAUGUUGUUCCUGCUCCCUUUCUGGACGCUGGACACACAGUACUGAGUCAUUCAAAUGAUACAUGCAAGCCUCCUCUUGGCAGUGGAUCUGAAGAUCUAUUUUGAUUCUUCCCAGAAGCCACAAAGAGAAUACUCCACCAGACUUAACUUCAACACUUUAUCCAAGAAAAUAUUAAAAAUAACAGAAACAGAAGCUUUAUAUGGUGCCCCUUGGAGCUGUAAUCAAGCCGUUCCUAAUAACUUCAAGAAAGAGCUGGAAACUGCUUGCCACAGUGCCUGGAAGCUGUGCACUGCCAAUCAUCUCUCCUAAUUUAAUGCUAGAAUCAUCCAACUCUCCAGCAUGGAAGGGACACAUCAGCAAUGUGUUGUCAUUAGGGCACAACAAAAAAUUUAGAUCUCUAGAUAUUUAUACUUGGUUACAGUUGCACAAAAAAAUACUCUGAUUGACAUUUGCAAUGACUGUUAUCUCAGUCUAUUAAAAAGAGCAAAAACCCUCUCCUCCCAAAUAGGGAGCCUAAGCAAUACAGGUAUUACAAAGAUAAAGCCAUGAAACAAUUAUAUCAUUCUACUAACAGGUUCCUUUUCCUAUUAAAGAGAGCCUGUUUGAAUAGAGAAAUUUAAGUGAUGAAAUAUCUUCAAUUCCCCAUAAAAAUCUGCUAAAAUGUUGAAAUUAUUCAGUUUUCACAGAAUUGUCCUUAGAUUUUUGCAUAAUUCCUAUGAGGUUCUGGCCAUCUUUAGCACAGAGCUUGCCUUCCCCUGUAAGCAAAUACCUGUGAAACUCAUUAAGUGAGUCUGCAUCUGUCACAUCUGUCUAGCAUGCUAAUUUUCAUAAUAGAUGACAACUACAGGUACCUGUAGUUCUUUUGUAUUAAUUUAUGUGAUCCACAGAGUGGACCUAAAUUUUCUACCUUUUAAACCCUGCAUAAAAUGCAAGAAGAGUCUUAUAGUUAAAGCAAUUACUUGGUGACCUAGGCAGCAGAGAACUUCCAUGGGAAUACAAUUCUCUGAUUGUACUUAAGUCAGAGAAACUCAGAGAACAGUUCCAACUACACAUUUCUCAUUUUCUAACUGUCUAACUUGAGUCUGUAGGGUCUGAUUUAUUAAAGUGCAAAUGCAGUCAACAGAAACUGUGCUUUGAAUGUAAAAAAUGAAAUAUAAACACUCUUCAAAAUGAGAUACUACAUUUGUUAUACUGGACACUGAGAAUUUAUAGAAACUCUUGAAUUUAAUCAAUCAAAGGGCAACAAACCUUAUUUAAUCCACUGGACAUAGUAUUCUGUUUAUUUUACAGGACCUUAUGGAAAUAAAAAUUCACAGUUUUAUGUGAAAAAGACA